CCUACGGGUGGCAGCAGUGAGGAAUAUUUGUCAAUGGGCGUAAGCCUGAACCAGCCAAGUCGCGUGAGGGAUGAAGGUUCUAUGGAUCGUAAACCUCUUUUAUAAGGGAAUAAAGUGUGGGACGUGUCCUAUUUUGUCUGUACCUUAUGAAUAAGGAUCGGCUAACUCCGUGCCAGCAGCCGCGGUAAUACGGAGGAUCCGAGCUUUAUCCGGAUUUAUUGGGUUUAAAGGGUACGUAGGUGGCCGUUUAAGUCAGCGGUGAAAGUCUGUGGCUCAACCAUAGAAUUGCCGUUGAAACUGGGGGGCUUGAGUAUGUUUGAGGCAGGCGGAAUGCGUGGUGUAGUGGUGAAAUGCUUAGAUAUCACGCAGAACCCCGAUUGCGAAGGCAGCCUGCCAAGCCAUGACUGACGCUGAGGCACGAAAGCGUGGGGAGCAAACAGGAUUAGAUACCCCAGUAGUC
rnacentral:rRNA from 1 species